rnacentral:rRNA from 1 species
UACGUAGGGUCCGAGCGUUGUCCGGAAUUAUUGGGCGUAAAGGGCUCGUAGGCGGUUUGUCGCGUCGGGAGUGAAAACGCCGGGCUUAACCCGGUGCUUGCUUUCGAUACGGGCAGACUGGAGGUAUGCAGGGGAGAACGGAAUUCCUGGUGUAGCGGUGAAAUGCGCAGAUAUCAGGAGGAACACCGGUGGCGAAGGCGGUUCUCUGGGCCGAUACUGACGCUGAGGAGCGAAAGCGUGGGGAGCGAACAGG